rnacentral:rRNA from 1 species
CCUACGGGGUGCAGCAGUGAGGAAUAUUGGUCAAUGGACGAGAGUCUGAACCAGCCAAGUAGCGUGAAGGAUGACUGCCCUAUGGGUUGUAAACCUCUUUUGUCAGGGAGCAAUUGGCGCUACGUGUAGCGUUAUCGAGAGUACCUGAAGAAAAAGCAUCGGCUAACUCCGUGCCAGCAGCCGCGGUAAUACGGAGGAUGCGAGCGUUAUCUGGAUUUAUUGGGUUUAAAGGGUGCGUAGGCGGAAUGCCAAGUCAGCGGUAAAAUCGCGGGGCUCAACCUCGCUCCGCCGUUGAAACUGGCGUUCUUGAGUGGGCGAGAAGUAUGCGGAAUGCGUGGUGUAGCGGUGAAAUGCAUAGAUAUCACGCAGAACCCCGAUUGCGAAGGCAGCAUGCCGGCUUCCGACUGACGCUGAAGCACGAAAGCGUGGGGAUCGAACAGGAUUAGAUACCCGUGUAGUC